rnacentral:rRNA from 1 species
AUUCCCCUAGUACGGCGAGUGAAGAGGGAAGAGCCCAAGAUUGAAAGCUGGCGCCUUCGGCGUCCGCAUUGUAAUCUCAAGAAGUGUUUUCCGCUUCGGACCAUGCCUAAGUCCCUUGGAAAAGGGCAUCAUAGAGGGUGAUAAUCCCGUACAUGGCAUGGAGCGCCCGAAGCUUUGUGAUACGCUUUCUAAGAGUCGAGUUGUUUGGGAAUGCAGCUCAAAAUGGGUGGUAAAUGCCAUCUAAGGCUAAAUAUUGGGGAGAGACCGAUAGCGAACAAGUACAGUGAUGGAAAGAUGAAAAGAACUUUGAAAAGAGAGUUAAACAGUACGUGAAAUUGCCAAAAGGGAAGGGUAGGAGGUCAGAGAUGCGUCGCAGGAUUCAGCCUUGCUUUUGCUUGGUGUUUUUCCUGCGUUGCAGGCCAACGUCGGUUUUGGGCACUGGAGAAGGGUAGGAGGAACGUGGCACCUCUCGGGGUGUGUUAUAGCCUCCUACUGGAUACAGCGACCGAGACCGAGGAACGCAGCGUACUCGUAAGAGCGGGCCUUUUGGCACCUUUACGCUUAGGGCGUUGGCAUAAUGGCCCUCUACCACCCGUCU